ACAGAUCCUAUCUCAAGGUCUUGUUUGCAAUGCCGAUAUGGAGUGGAAAUGUUUAAAUGCUCUGCUGGGCCCAACAUACAUUGGUUCUCCUGGAGCUGCAAUGUCUUGAGCUGGAGGAGAAAUGAGAGAUCAUCUGAAAUCUGCAUGGAUGAAGGUCGGACUGUGCCCCAAAGCCUGGUGACUCCUCCCCAGCUGUACCCAGCAGCAAAAGGAAGAGGAUCAUCACUUUGCCAAAUAGAAAAUAAAUGAUUCACACAGCACCACCUGACAGCUUGUUGGAGAAAAAGUCUUCUAAAAAAUGCAAAAGUGUGAUUUGUAAAAGAUCUGUGGUUUGCUCUGUGUAAGACAAAAUAUUUCAUCCAGAACUGAAGGAAAACUCUGGAAGGAUUGCACUGACUUUAAUAGGUUUUAUCCUAAAUCCUCUGACAUUUUGUCUACAGGUGUAGCUACUACUUCUACCUACUUAGCUAACUGUGUUGACCUAUAUGCCCAGACUGAAAUGCUAUUGAAAUUAUAAUUAUGUUGUUAAAAUGUAAACAGGAUUCGCUAUUUCUGUAUUAUAGAUUACCCCAAACUUCUAAUCUAAAUAGGUCAUUCAGGUUCCGCUGUGCUGUGUUUGAGGUGAUGCAGUUUGCUGUAAUAGGAAAUCAAGUGUGUUCUACAUAUCACAGCUAAGUUGUGGGUAUAGAUUGAUUUUGUUUGUUUAUUGGAAACCAUGGUUAAUAGUGGAAAAAAACCCUAUUGUAGUUAGAACUUGUAAGAAGAACUAGGUCUGGUAGUCAAAGUGCAGGAAGAAAAGCUGCUUUCUGUCUUAAGGUAAGUUUGGCUAAUAUUCUAAAACCAAAGUGGAAGCCUGUUUAGAGUAACUGAUCUUCCUGAAGAUCGUGUUUUGAUCCAUGGAACAAAAUGAGAGUGUGACACAACUACAAAACUAAACAUCUAUGAAAUUACAUUAAAGACUGAACUUAAUUCUAGUUUUAAUUCCCUUUGCAAGUAGCCCGAUUAUUUCAGUAGGGCUGUAAGUGAAAUAUACUUCAGUGUGAGCAAUGCUAGUUGAUCUCACCUCCAAAUAAACUUGGUUUUGGUUUUAGCAACCCCAGCCUUUAAUGUAAAUACCACAGAGGGUUUUUUCUGGUAGUGCUGAAAACUUUGUUUCUGUAGACUUUUAAUAUAACUCUUAAGAAAAGCAUUGCAAUGGUUGGGUGCAAUAUAGCUGUUGCUACAUCUUCUCAUGUCCUCAAGUAGAAUGACCUGGCAUUUUACUGCUUUAUUUGGUUUCCUCUUCUAACUGUCUGCAAGGAGAGAUUUUGCUCAGACCUGGAGGAGGGGAUGGGAAACAGCCAAAAUGCUAAGAAACUGAAUUUACUGUUUUGUUUCAGCACUAUAAAGGUGUUCCUUUUAGUCCCUUUAGUAAGGAGGCAGCUCUCUGGGAAGAACUGGUAGCGUAAGAAAUGAUAUCAUGUGUCAGAGAGGAAGUUCAGAUGUUGGAGUAGAGACACCAGGGGACUCAGCUGGAGGUAUGGAGAUAAGAAAGCUGGGAGAAGCUUCAGUCUCUCUGAGCUAAGUGGAAAGCUGGGAGAGAAGGAGACAAAAAGCAGCUUAACAUGAAUGUUAUUUCUAGAAAGAUCCUUCCCUUGAAAGUUUAAAACUGUCUUGAUGCUCUGUGGCAUCUAUCUUAGCUGCAGUGGGUGAAUAGUAAACUGGGGCCGGAUCUUUGAAGAGAAGCUCCUGGUGAGAUGUUAAGCUCAGUUAUCUUGCAAAAAAAAGGGUGAGGCUUUUAUAUGAAUUUCAACAUGCUAUCUUUUGGGCCUGUUCAUUAAGUUUACUUGAGCAAAACAGAAGUGCCAAGAAGUUUUUCUUUGAUUUUCAUUGCAAUAGUUCUGUAUUCUGGCUUAGACAAAAACCUAAUUCUGCAAUCAGGUCUGUUCUGGGAAAACAAGAAAUUGAAUGAAAUCCCAGUGUUGAGUCUUAUUACAGUUUUGCUGUUCAAGAACCCUGAUGUUAGCAAUGCUCUUUUCAAGCUGCUCUGUGAGUAUUUUUCUUCCCCAGUCACUUUCUUCUUUUUCUUGGGUCUGUUUCCAGCUGAGUUUCAUUGUGUUUUCACUGGAGUUUUUGGCUGAGUACCACUCAUACUUACCCAGCCCUUACAGUAGCAUAGUUUCGUUAACUCCUGCUUUGUGCUUUGUCCACCAUACGGUAUGUGGCCUAUACAUGCAACCUCUCAAGAGACUCACCUGUGAGUGAGUCUGAGUCCGUUGUAAUUCAGUACAUGCUAUUGAGUGGUUGUAUCUGAUGGUAGCAAAAGCAAACCGGUGGUGUGUGUUUGCCUAAGUACAGACUUCAUUAAAAGUAGCUGCUUUAGAAAAACUGCAGAUUCAUAUUAUAUUAUACUCUUAAAGCAACUGUUCUCCUGGAACUUUACAUUUCUUCCUGUCAUGGAGUUCAGAUUUGUACUUUAUAUUAAAGCUCUGCUUGUAAAUAGUUUGUAAAAUGUUAAUAAUUAAGAAGUGCUACAGGUAUAAACAGUCUGGCCUGCAGCAGGGGCUCAACAGAGAUCUCUGAGCAUUGUGUAACCACUUAUUUAGGUACGCCUCGCCUUUGGAUGGCUGCGCUGUCAUAAUGGAAAGAUUUUAUCAAAGGAGACCCAGCUCUGAGAUAACUGGACCUUGCACCUUGCUUGAC
rnacentral:lncRNA from 7 species